rnacentral:lncRNA from 1 species
GAUUUUAUGGGCGUUGACUUUUCCCCAUUCUCUUGCUUGGUUGUUGACUUCUCCCCAUUCUCUUGCUUGGCUGUUGACUUUUCUCCAUUCUCUUGCUUGGUUGUUGACUUUUCCACAUUCUCUUGCUUGGUUGUUGACUUUUUCAGAUUCACUUGCUUGGCUGUUGACUUUUCUGGUGUGGGGCCCGGGGUUGGGGUACUUACUCCACUUUUGUGCUGUUCAGGGUGCUUAGAACUCCUACGAGCAUUUUCAAACCACUUGCUG